rnacentral:rRNA from 1 species
AAUGGCCUAACGGCUGAACCAGCAAUUUGGGGGAAUGUAUAGUGUAAUCUAAUUGUCAUUUAAUUUAUUAAAUGCUAUAUCGACUACGUUGAAUAAAGUUCUAGGUAGGAUAAUGAUGAUGACAAUUUUCUAUCUAUAUGUCUUGACUAAAUCACGUGCCAGCAGUCGCGGUAAUACGUGGAAGACUAGUGUUAUUCAUCUUUAUUAGGUUUAAAGGGUGCCUAGACGGUAUAUUCAGCCCAAUAGAAAGGGUACGUGUGUACUAGAGUUUUAUGUGGGAAGGGGAGAACUUUUGGAGUAGAGAUACAAUUCUGUGAUAACAAGAGGACUGGUAAAGGCAAAUGCAACCUUCUAUGUAAAAACUGACGUUGAGGAACGAAGGCUUGGGUAGCGAUUAGGAUUAGAUACCCUAGUAGUCCAGGCAGAAAAUUAUGAAUGUCAUAGACUAAUUAAAAAGUCUUUUAAUGAAUCGAAAGUCUAAAAAAUAUAAAAAGAAAAAAUAAGUUUUUUCUUAGUUCAACCAAAGACUGCAUUAAAAAAACUUUUUAUAAAUAAGUCUAUAAAUAAAAGUGUAAACAUUCCACCUCAAGAGUAAUGUGGCAACACAGGAACUGAAACCAUUAGACCGUUUCUGAAACCAGUAGUGAAGUAUGUUAUUUAAUUCGAUGAUCCGCGAAAAACCUUACCACAAUUUGAAUAUUAUACAAGCGUUGCACGGCUGUCUUCAGUUGAUGUCGUGAGAUUAUGGUUAGUUCCAUUAAUUAACGUAAACCCUUGCUUUAUUUUAUGCAUGUGUUUUUCUUACUUCGUAAACACUUAAAAAGCGACAUAAAGUAGUUCUUACCUAUAUACUUUUUAGGUUUAAGAUAAAAGGGACCAAGACAAGUCAUCAUGGCCUAAAUAUUGUGGGCUAUAGACGUGCCACAUAAGCCUUUACAAAGGGAUGCAAUAUUGUGAAAUGGAGCUAAUCCCCAAAAAAGGAUAUAAUAU